UACGUAGGGUGCGAGCGUUGUCCGGAAUUAUUGGGCGUAAAGCGCGUGUAGGCGGCCAGGUAGGUCCGCUGUGAAAACUCGAGGCUCAACCUCGAGACGUCGGCGGAAACCCUCUGGCUAGAGUCCGGAAGAGGAGAGCGGAAUUCCUGGUGUAGCGGUGAAAUGCGCAGAUAUCGGGAGGAACACCAGCGGCGAAGGCGGCACUCUGGGCUGGUACUGACGCUGAGGAGCGAAAGCGUGGGUAGCAAACAGG
rnacentral:rRNA from 1 species